rnacentral:rRNA from 1 species
GGUUAAGCGACUAAGCGUACACGGUGGAUGCCCUGGCAGUCAGAGGCGAUGAAGGACGUGCUAAUCUGCGAUAAGCGUCGGUAAGGUGAUAUGAACCGUUAUAACCGGCGAUUUCCGAAUGGGGAAACCCAGUGUGAUUCGUCACACUAUCAUUAACUGAAUCCAUAGGUUAAUGAGGCGAACCGGGGGAACUGAAACAUCUAAGUACCCCGAGGAAAAGAAAUCAACCGAGAUUCCCCCAGUAGCGGCGAGCGAACGGGGAGCAGCCCAGAGCCUGAAUCAGUGUGUGUGUUAGUGGAAGCGUCUGGAAAGGCGCGCGAUACAGGGUGACAGCCCCGUACACAAAAAUGCACAUGCUGUGAGCUCGAUGAGUAGGGCGGGACACGUGGUAUCCUGUCUGAAUAUGGGGGGACCAUCCUCCAAGGCUAAAUACUCCUGACUGACCGAUAGUGAACCAGUACCGUGAGGGAAAGGCGAAAAGAACCCCGGCGAGGGGAGUGAAAAAGAACCUGAAACCGUGUACG